GAAAUCUGUAAAGGGUACCUCUGCCAAAGAAUAAAUUCUGCUUUUAUUUUCAUAGCUAUUGUUAGACAGAAUGCAAGAGAGAAACGGGAAAAGAUUUACUCAUUUUAUUUGCUGGUAUUUUGGGAGAAGCAAGGGAAAAACAAAAAGCUCCAGUCAUCAUGGCUGAAGUUCACUGAGGUCCUGCAAGUUUGUUUGACAGCGAGGAAUGCGUAACAGAUCCGCACGCAUGUGACUGCUGGAUGAAUGCUAUUUAUGUCUCUGUAAACAUGAAAUCAUGAAAUAAGCUCCACAGCAGCGGUGCUGGUGACGUCCUUGUCUGACCCGGCCAGCUAUCGCUUUGGACUUACGCAUCGUGGGGAGUACAAAGUGGACUGGAACUUCUUGCAGAACACCGUGCUGCUGGAAGAUGUUUACUGAAGGGAAGUAGGUCGAGCAGUAAGGCCCAGAAACCACCCAGCAUGUUGCUGGAUAAGAGGGAAGGCACUGUGAGAUCCUAUAAUAACUUCUUACACACCUUGUGGACAGAACAGCAUUUCACAAAAGCAGCGUCUAAAAAAAAUUAAAAAAAAAAAUCACCACGUACAUGUUUACUUUUGUAUGGCCCAGCUUUGAAACAACCUCUGUAGAACAGAUGUGCAGCUGAGACUUCAAUCCUUGCUGCAAAAUAAUAAUGAAAAGUCUUUGCAUCUCAAGAUUGCAAAAGAAGGGGGAAGAAGGUGUGGGGGAAAAAAUCACAGAAUCACAGGACGGUUUGUGUUGGAGCAGACCUCAAAGCCCAUCUGGUUCCAACCCCCUGCCCUGGGCACUGCCAGGGCUGGGGCACCCACAGCUUCUCUGGGCAGCCCGUUCAGUGCCUCACGGUAAAGAUUUUUUUUUUUUCCCUGAAACACCCUUUUGGUUUAACACUGUCACCCCUCGUCCUGUGGCCAGGCUCCCUGGUGUCACCACGUCUCCUGGGCCCGCAGACCCCUGGCACAGGGCCGGGCCUGGCGUGUGGCUGGGUGCACCCAUGGCCUGCAGGGCCAGGCCAGGCCGGGCCAGGCUGAGCAAGUGCUGGCAGGUGGCAGAUCACCGGCGCCAGCCCUUGGAGAGCAAAAACACGGAGGAAAAAGGACCGGAGAGGUCCUGGAUUGACUUUGUUCCUGGUUUUCUCACUUCACAGAAGAGGCAGUUGAACUCCAGCCUCAUUAAAACAAAUACCCGUGCAGACAGUGCCUCCAGAAGCAUGGACGGUGGCCUUCCCCUACAACAAAAUCUCCUGGCACUACGUUGCUGUUGGCGUCAUGGGCUGCUCUCUGUGCCUUGUGCAAUCCUCCUGCCCUUGAGAUGGAUCUCAGCCCAGCUGAAUAAUGGUGAGGCUUUGCUGGCAGUGUGCUGCCCAAGCUUGCAGCAACCUCUCCAAACACCUCUCCUUCUGCCUUCAGUUGGCAUUGCGACUGAGAAGAUUUGA
rnacentral:lncRNA from 1 species